UUUACAGCACACAUAUAAUACACAGUGUGUUCAUUGACUCCACGUGUUUGUGACUAUGAGUCAAUCGCAUGAAUGGUAUUAAUAAGUUAAUAACAACAAUCAUUUGGAUGACCAGAUGAUGGAACCAUUUAUAAGUGAUGGUUACCACUGAUGAUGGACUGGUGUGUGGUAUUGGGAUACGAGUCGUGGAUUUUGGUGUCGUUGGUCGCCAUUUGAUAUGUCUUUGAAGAUAAAAUGAUAUCCCUAUAGACUCGUUGGAAACAAUGGUUAUCUGUUAUCACCAACAGGUACUUCAAGUGUUUAAACAACAGUGGAUAACAUCAGUCAUUUUGAUGACCAGAUGAUGGAAUGGUGAAUGGUAUUGGGAUACAAGUCGUGGAUUUUGUUGUCGUUGGACGCCAUUUGAAGUCUUUGAAGAUAAAAUGAUAGCCCGAUAGACUCGGAAACAAUGGUUAUACGUCAUGACCAACAGGUACUUCAAGUGUUUUAAACACUUUGUUCAACACUUUCAAAGAUAAGCCAAGAUAUAUCCUAUGUUGUAUACCAUCCUCGAGAGUCAAUAUAAGUGUUGAUCUGUAUUAUUAUUAUAUAU